rfam:Triticum aestivum genome assembly, contig: Triticum_aestivum_CS42_TGACv1_scaffold_557303_7AL
CCGCUCGGAGACGCCGAGAUCAUCUCCCAUGUCAUAGCCGGCCUCGACAUCGACUACAACCCUGUGAUCUCGGCUCUGGCUGCACGGGUCGAACCUAUUACGGUUCAGGAGUUGUAUAGUCAGCUCCUGAGCUUCGACG